AGCCAGAGAGGCAGGAGCUUCCUAAGCCAAGAUGCCAGGAGAGGCCUAACUGCAGAGCCGGCUUUUGAAUCUGCUGGGCAGCAUCUCCCACUCCAGCUCCAGCUGCAGAUAAGCACGACUGAUAAACUGCGUGGGUCUUUCUCCUGUCUCCCCGGAUCAUCGGCGUUCUACAAUGGGCUGCAUGUGCACUAGACAUGAAGUACAGAAUCUCACCCAUGAAUCAUUUCUUAAAUUCACCACCAAUAUGCAGCAGAAACCCUUAAGGAUGUCUCAUCCCAGAUACUGA